CUUUAUUUAUAUAUAAAUAAGAGGAAGAAAAGAAGGCAAAAACCGUUACUUCAGUAAUA
rnacentral:rRNA from 1 species